CCUACGGGUGGCAGCAGUGAGGAAUAUUGGUCAAUGGACGAGAGUCUGAACCAGCCAAGUAGCGUGAAGGAUGACUGCCCUACGGGUUGUAAACUUCUUUUAUAUGGGAAUAAAACGUUCCACGUGUGGGAUUUUGUAUGUACCUUAUGAAUAAGGAUCGGCUAACUCCGUGCCAGCAGCCGCGGUAAUACGGAGGAUCCGAGCGUUAUCCGGAUUUAUUGGGUUUAAAGGGAGCGUAGGUGGAUUGUUAAGUCAGUUGUGAAAGUUUGCGGCUCAACCGUAAAAUUGCAGUUGAAACUGGCAGUCUUGAGUACAGUAGAGGUGGGCGGAAUUCGUGGUGGAGCGGUGAAAUGCUUAGAUAUCACGAAGAACUCCGAUUGCGAAGGCAGUUCACUGGACUGCAACUGACACUGAGGCUCGAAAGUGUGGGUAUCAAACAGGAUUAGAUACCCUAGUAGUC
rnacentral:rRNA from 1 species